rnacentral:piRNA from 1 species
UCUGUGCUGUACAGAAAGAUGGCU